AUUCCCUAAAUGAUCAUGGAACACGAAUAAUUAUAUACAACAUUUGGGAGAAUGAUGAAGGAAUCUGGAACUUGAUUUUGACACCGAUAAACAUGACAUUCAACUUAGAGGAGUCAACUGAGAUGAGAAGAGCAUACAAAUGGCACAGCAAUAUCCCAACGCUAGACACUCCUUAGCUUAUCAACACUCACUAAGGAGUUACACAUCAAUUCUCUAUCUGAGACUUCCAGCGAACUUCUAGGAAAGAUGUUCAACAUCAUAACAUAGACAUUAAAUUUAUGGUAUCAUAUUUCAGGUUUUUUUCUUUUAUUAUUAUUAUUUUUGCA